rnacentral:rRNA from 1 species
AGUGAACGCUGGCGGUAGGCCUAACACAUGCAAGUCGAACGGCAGCACAGAGGAGCUUGCUCCUUGGGUGGCGAGUGGCGGACGGGUGAGGAAUACAUCGGAAUCUACUCUGUCGUGGGGGAUAACGCAGGGAAACUUACGCUAAUACCGCAUACGACAUACGGGAGAAAGCAGGGGACCUUCGAGCCCUGCGCGAUUGAAUCAGCCGAUGUCGGAGUAGCUAGUUGGCGGGGUAAAGGCCCACCAAGGCGACGAUCCGUAGCUGGUCUGAGAGGAUGAUCAGCCACACUGGAACUGAGACACGGUCCAGACUCCUACGGGAGGCAGCAGUGGGGAAUAUUGGACAAUGGGCGCAAGCCUGAUCCAGCCAUACCGCGUGGGUGAAGAAGGCCUUCGGGUUGUAAAGCCCUUUUGUUGGGAAAGAAAUCCAGCUGGCUAAUACCCGGUUGGGAUGACGGUACCCAAAGAAUAAGCACCGGCUAACUUCGUGCCAGCCGCCGCGGUAA